rnacentral:rRNA from 1 species
UACAGAGGGGGCAAGCGUUGUUCGGAAUUACUGGGCGUAAAGGGCGCGUAGGCGGCCUUCUAAGUCGAACGUGAAAUCCCCGGGCUCAACCCGGGAACUGCGUCCGAGACUGGAAGGCUUGAAUCCGGGAGAGGGAUGUGGAAUUCCAGGUGUAGCGGUGAAAUGCGUAGAUAUCUGGAGGAACAUCGGUGGCGAAGGCGGCAUCCUGGACCGGUAUUGACGCUGAGGCGCGAAAGCCAGGGGAGCGAACGGG